AUCUGAAAGGCAGGAUGUGGCCUCUAAGAACCCGCUCUUACUUCUAAAAGGACAGGUCCUAAGAGACUGCAUCAAGCCUUCAGCUCACAAAGA